rnacentral:rRNA from 1 species
AACGAACGCUGGCGGCAGGCCUAACACAUGCAAGUCGAACGCUGUAGCAAUACAGAGUGGCAGACGGGUGAGCAACGCGUGGGAACCUUCCCAAUGGUACGGAAUAGCUCAGGGAAACUUGAGGUAAUACCGUAUAAGCCCCUAGGGGGAAAGAUUUAUAGCAGUUGGAUGGGCCCGCGUCGGAUUAGCUAGUUGGUAGGGCAAGGGCCCACCAAGGCGACGAUCCGUAGCUGGUGUGAGAGAAUGAACAGCCACACUGGGACGGAGACACGGCCCAGACUCCUACGGGAGGGAGCAGUGGGGAAUCUUGGAAAGUGGGCGAAGACCUGAUCCUGCCAGGCCCGGUGAGUUACGAAGGCCUUAGGGUUGUAAAGCUCUUUUGCCGGGGACGAUAAUGACGGUACCCGGAGAAUAAGUCCCGGCUAACUUCGUGCCAGCCGCCGCGGUAACAC